rnacentral:misc_RNA from 1 species
UUUCCGUAGGUGAACCUGCGGAAGGAUCGUUAAAGAACGCCCCGUUUUUUGAAAUGGGUAAUUCUAAACCGUGUAUACAUACCUUUGUUGCUUUGGCAGGCCGCCCCUCAGGGCGUCGGCUCCGGCUGACUGCGCCUGCCAGAGGACCCAAACUCUUUUGUUUAGUGAUGUCUGAGUACUAUAUAAUAGUUAAAACUUUCAACAACGGAUCUCUUGGUUCUG